rnacentral:rRNA from 1 species
UACGGAGGGAGCUAGCGUUGUUCGGAAUUACUGGGCGUAAAGCGCGCGUAGGCGGCUUUGUAAGUUAGAGGUGAAAGCCCGGGCUCAACUCCGGAACUGCCUUUAAGACUGCAUCGCUUGAAUCCGGGAGAGGUGAGUGGAAUUCCGAGUGUAGAGGUGAAAUUCGUAGAUAUUCGGAAGAACACCAGUGGCGAAGGCGGCUCACUGGACCGGUAUUGACGCUGAGGUGCGAAAGCGUGGGGAGCAAACAGG